AACAAGGUGUUAAGCAGGGGUGUAGCUACAGGGGAAGCGGCUGCUUUGGGGCCCUGACCCAGAAGGGGCCCAUCCAGGAGGGGGAGGACUAAAAGACUUUGUAAGGGCCCCCUCAACAGUAUUACACAAUGAAAUUAUAUACAGUGGCAGUAUAGACAGUGUAGAAAACAGAUGGAACAGCUGCCGGGCCUUGUCUGAGAGAGCGAUCUUUAGUAGUCACAGGAAUG